AACACCGUACGCGUUGUUAGUAUUCGAGAAAGAUGCGCGCAUUCUACACGGUUCUCAUACUAGUGAUCUUCGUUAGCCUCGCCACGGGGUGGUCUUUCUCAAAUAUGACGACGUCCAUUAACAAGAUAAUACAGUCGGAAAAUAACAGGCAGCAAAUUUUUACCUCUAACAAGAAUGAUAAUACUACAUCGAGUAAACCGGAGAUUACAAUGCAGAGCAGGAUAAUAUUCGUACCUCGGAGAAGUAAAGUUCACUGUCAGCCGGGCCAACAGAUCGAUAGACGUGGCAAGUGUAGAACGGUGUGGUGAAUAAAUGCCAGAAAUAAUAAGCAAGAAUUUUCGUAAAUGAUUAGACAGCUAUCUAUGAACUAUGGCAUUCUCGAAAAGGAAGAAAAACAAGAAAAUUAUUCUGAAGAUCGGAAAUAAUCAACAGGGAUUAUAGAUUUAUAUGAGAGAUAUCUAAUUGAUUAACGAAAUAUAUAAGAUCGGCAUAAGACCGGAUUGUCAACUGUGGAAUUCCUUCGAAUUAAUUAAGAUAUGGAUUAAGAUCUAAUCAACAUAAUAUUUUGUCGCGCCAGAUUGCCUAUCGUCACAGAUUAAAAAUAAAUUUUGACUUUGUAUCAAGCGGAUACAAUUGAAACCAAAGUGAAAUAUGAAAUACCAAAAUCAUACAUUAUAUAAUAUAUUAAAUAUUAAUUAAAUAUUAAAAAUAUUUAAUAUAAUAUUAUAUAUUAAAAAUUAGUUAAUAUUUUAUUAUUCAAAUAGGUUAAAUUAAUUGAAUUUCUUUCUCUAACAAAAAUAAUUGAAAUUAGUUAUUAGCUUUUAACAUGUAUAAAGUAGAAUACCAUCGCAUAUAAUUGUUGUAAUAAGAUAUUUGAUACGAAUAAUUAAUAUUUGUAUACUAAAUAUGUAUCUAUAAAAUUGUCAUAUAUGUAUUAUGAAAGAUAGAAGAGAAAUGUACUAAUACAUUUAUAUCUUUUUCUUGUCACCCGUAUUCCCACUGACUCAUGAAUAAAGGUUAAUUCAUAUAAUGUGCAUAUAAAACUUCAAAUGCGAGGCGCGCAAUCAUUCUCAAUAAUUUAUCAUGUUACGGGAAGUGUCGGAUAAAAGCUCAUGCGUAAGCAAUCAGGGAAUGAUUUCAACCGCAAAUUAACGGUGCCAAAUGGAAGGAAACAGGAAACCGCACUUAUCGGAUCAAAGUAUAUAAACACUUGCGCUCCCAUUAUUAUUUGAGCCAGUCGUUAUUAACAUUUUAAUGUUGCAAGUGUCAGAAAUAGAGAAACGCGAGUUUAUUUAAUUUCAUUCAUCAUUUAUCUAAUUAAAAAUUAGAAACUAAUUGAAAGAUUAAAUAUUGUCCGCAAUAAUGGCGCCAGCGCAUUUGAUUCUACUAAUCCUUGUGUCAAUUAUGUUAUUAUUUUCGUGCAAGGGACAGCCAGUAACUUUUCCUAAAAGAAAUCAAUCAGAAACGAAACCGAAAUGUCCACCAGGCUAUAGGCCUGUACGCACUGGAGGAUGCAGGAAAAUUUUAAAACUUUGAAGUUAUACAACAUUUCUCUUUGCUAAAGAAUAAUGUGAGCAACAACGUGGGACAUAUUUUUUCAAAGAUACUAUUCAUACUGAGAAUAAUUACAAAAUGUUCAUCUUUUCUAUAAUGCAAAUACAUUUUAUGGCUUGGAAACAUAUAUUAAUAUGCAUUGCACAAAAAACCAUAUUAUAUUAAGAGAUUUUAAUAAUUAUCAUCUAUGAAAUGUAUGCAUUUAAAAUGUUUUUGAAACUCAUAUA